GUCUUUAUUUAUGAACUCAAUCUUAUGUUGAAAGAGUCUAUAAAAUUAUGCUUCUAAAAAGUUCACUCAUCCUUGUGGGAGGUGGGUGUAUUAUAAAAGCAAGAAAUAUUUGUGGUGUUUUUUGGUUUUCUUCCAUUCAUAAAAAUGGAUGUGCUUGCUUCUGGAAUCCUUACCUUUAAAUUCUGAUUUAUCUACUAGUUCUAAGGUGCUUUGCUUCUGAUUUCUUAUGCCUCUGUCCUAACAUAUUUCAACUGUAUUCAGUAUUUCCUUGAAAUAUAUGAAAGCAUAUACUUUCACUAACUAGUGGGAAUAUCUGUGGUCGAUGUAGUUAACCUAAUUCUGCAACCGGCUCAGGAAACAGUAUUAAGCACCUUUAAUGAUAGCAUUCCUCCCAGUAAAGGUCAUUCUUUUUGAAAUGUUAUAUAUCUUUUUUUCUUUUUCUUUGUUAAGAAAAUUCUGAGUGGCUUAUUUAAAUUAUUGAAGAAUGAUGAGAUCUUAGUAACAACAGGAGACCCUUCUGUACUAAAUUGGGAAACUGUGUGUAAGCAAAAAGAUGAAUAAGAUAGUCUGUUUAGAUAAACCCUGAUCUUUGCACAAGAUUUCAAGUAUUUUUAAGAGUUACAGUCCUGUUCUUUCACUUAAACCACAUCAGACAUUGAUAAUUAAGAACAGUACAUAUUCCCUUUGAGUCUCUUUCAGUCUUGAGUUGGUCUUAAAAUCACUCUCAAUAGUGCACUCACUACAGGAAGCCAUUAAUAUUUUGUAUUGGUGUUUGAGCUAAAAACCCAUUUGCUACCACUAAAUUAGUGGGCAAGAUUUAUUGUCUCUCCAUGCUCUAGCCUGUAGGGCACAUGUUAACAAACUUUUUUUUGUGAAGAGCCAGGUAAUAUUUUAAGCUUGUUUUUUUUUAAGACAGGGUCUCAAUAGGUUGCUUACAGUCUUGCUAAAUUGCUGAGGGUGGCUUCAAACCUUCCAUCCUUCUGCCUCAGCGUCCCAAGCCACAUAUUUUAAGCUUUGUUGACCAUACAAUCUUCUAGAGCCAGUCAGCUCUGCCCUUACAGUCUAAAGGCAGUCAUAGACAAUAUACAACAUAUGAUCAUAGCUAUGUUCCAACAAAACUUUAUUUACAAAAACAAGCAGCAAGGACUGGAAUAGGGGUAGUUUGGUGUUGAGUAC
rnacentral:lncRNA from 1 species